rnacentral:rRNA from 1 species
GAUGAACGCUGGCGGCGUGCCUAAUACAUGCAAGUCGAGCGAACAGAUGAUGAGCUUGCUCCUCUGACGUUAGCGGCGGACGGGUGAGUAACACGUGUAUCACCUACCUAUAAGACUGGGAUAACUUCGGGAAACCGGAGCUAAUACCGGAUAAUAUAUUGAACCGCAUGGUGCAAUAGUGAAAGACGGUUUUGCUGUCACUAAUAGAUGGAUCCGCGCCGCAUUAGCUAGUUGGUAAGGUAACGGCUUACCAAGGCAACGAUGCGUAGCCGAGCUGAGAGGGUGAUCGGCCACACUGGAACUGAGACACGGUCCAGACUCCUACGGGAGGCAGCAGUAGGGAAUCUUCCGCAAUGGGCGAAAGCCUGACGGAGCAACGCCGCGUGAGUGAUGAAGGUCUUCGGAUCGUAAAACUCUGUUAUUAGGGAAGAACAAAUGUGUAAGUAAAUAUGCACGUCUUGACGGUACCUAAUCAGAAAGCCACGGCUAACUACGUG